rnacentral:rRNA from 1 species
UACGUAGGGUGCGAGCGUUAAUCGGAAUUACUGGGCGUAAAGCGUGCGCAGGCGGUUCGUUGUGUCCGUCGUGAAAGCCCCGGGCUUAACCUGGGAACUGCGAUGGAAACUAGCGAGCUGGAGUGUGGCAGAGGGGGGUGGAAUUCCGCGUGUAGCAGUGAAAUGCGUAGAGAUGCGGAGGAACACCGAUGGCGAAGGCGGAUCUCUGGGCCUUACCUGACGCUCAGGCGCGAAAGCUAGGGGAGCGAACAGG